rnacentral:rRNA from 1 species
UACAGAGGAUGCAAGCGUUAUCCGGAAUGAUUGGGCGUAAAGCGUCUGUAGGUGGCUUUUUAAGUCCGCCGUCAAAUCCCAGGGCUCAACUCUGGACAGGCGGUGGAAACUACCAAGCUGGAGUACGGUAGGGGCAGAGGGAAUUUCCGGUGGAGCGGUGAAAUGCGCAGAUAUCGGGAAGAACACCCGUGGCGAAGGCGGCACUCUGGGACGGUACUGACGCUGAGACGCGAAAGCGUGGGGAGCGAACAGG